GACGGAGGAUGCAAGUGUUAUCCGGAAUCACUGGGCGUAAAGCGUCUGUAGGUGGUUUAAUAAGUCGGAUGUUAAAUCUUGAAGCUUAACUUCAAAACCGCAUUCGAAACUGUUAAACUUGAGUAUAGUAGAGGUAAAGGGAAUUUCCAGUGGAGCGGUGAAAUGCGUAGAUAUUGGAAAGAACACCGAUGGCGAAGGCACUUUACUGGGCUAGUACUGACACUCAGAGACGAAAGCUAGGGUAGCAAAUGGG
rnacentral:rRNA from 1 species